CAAUUUUGCUUGUACAAACAUGAAACGACGGGACCCACGGGUUGGUGGUGAGGCGGCCUUUAGCCCCCUCCCCCGUCAGCUUGACGUCUCCUCGAGUAUUCUUACUUUAAUCAUUUUUAAGAACAUUAUUUUGUCUAAGGAAAAUUUGGACGUAAUCUUUUUUCCAUCUGGGACUCGCUCCAAUGCAUCGUCGCCCAUCGAAAGGACGGAGAAGAGAGACAAUUUUAGGGUUUUUCCAUCUACCACGCGCCUCCCAUGGGAACAGAAAAUAAAGGCUAAUAUCUUUUGUUUCCUUAUAAAAGAGAGAGAGAGUUGCUCAUUAAUAUGACAACCCUCAAAAUUAUUUUGAUCGACACCCAUCUCUUCCUUAUGUGGAUUCUCUCUCUCUCUCUCUCUCUCUCUGUACGAGGGUUGCGCUCGAGCUUGGUGUAAAUGAGGAGAUCAACAGACAGCAGGAAUGAGAACGGAAGGGGGAGAUAGACAAUUGAAGGUUGGAUGGAGAGAGAUGGGAGUGGAGAAGUGUGGCAAAAGAUGAAGAGACUUGAAGAUGUUGGCGCGCCUCAAACUAAUGGCGUGGUUAGAAAUUGACUCUUCUUCAUCCCUAACCCCACCUUAUUGGCUUGAGCCGCGUCAAUAUCUCCUUCUUUCCACACACCUCUCUCUCUCUCUCUCUCUCUCUCUCGCAAAAGCUAGUUCUCCUUCUAUGUGAUCCAUACAAUCACAGAAAUAUUCUAAUGGACGGCAACCACGACAGAGAAAAUCUUUCAGUUGGCAGUGGUUUCCACAGUUACCCAUUUCUUGUAUAUGUACCAGUGCUCACCUCGAAGUGCUCUUGAAGGAAAUAUGUAAUUUAAUUUGGUUUUCCCUCUAGAAGAUGUAAAUAUACGAGGGUUUUGCUGA